UUAUUUGAGAGUUUGAUCCUGGCUCAGGAUGAACGCUGGCGGCGUGCCUAACACAUGCAAGUUGAGCGAUUUACUUCGGUAAAGAGCGGCGGACGGGUGAGUAACGCGUGGGUAACCUACCCUGUACACACGGAUAACAUACCGAAAGGUAUGCUAAUACGGGAUAAUAUAUUUGAGAGGCAUCUCUUGAAUAUCAAAGGUGAGCCAGUACAGGAUGGACCCGCGGCUGAUUAGCUAGUUGGGAAGGGAACGGCUUACCAAGGCGACGAUCAGUAGCCGACCUGAGAGGGUGAUCGGCCACAUUGGAACUGAGACA
rnacentral:rRNA from 1 species